UAUGGCCACAUCAUGUUGAAACAUCGGUUCCUGUAUGAUCACCAAAGUUAAGCAACAUCUAGCCUGGUCAAUACUUAGAUGGGUGACUGCUUAGGAAUACCAGUUGGUGUAAG